rnacentral:rRNA from 1 species
GACAGAGGGGGGCAAGCGUUGCUCGGAAUCACUGGGCGUAAAGGGCGCGUAGGCGGAGAUGUAAGUCUAUUCUGAAAGCUCCUGGCUAAACUGGGAGAGGCGAAUGGAGACUGCAUAUCUAGAGUGAGGAAGAGGAAAAGUGGAAUUCCGCGUGUAGUGGUGAAAUGCGUAGAUAUCGGGAGGAACACCAGUGGCGAAGGCGACUUCCUGGCCUGUUCUUGACGCUGAGGCGCGAAAGCUAGGGUAGCAAACGGG